rnacentral:rRNA from 1 species
UACAGAGGUCUCAAGCGUUGUUCGGAUUUAUUGGGCGUAAAGGGUGCGUAGGCGGCGAGGUAAGUCUGGUGUGAAAUCCUGGGGCUCAACCCCCAGAAUUGCACUGGAUACUGCUUUGCUAGAGGACUGGAGAGGAGAUUGGAAUUCACGGUGUAGCAGUGAAAUGCGUAGAUAUCGUGAGGAAGACCAGUGGCGAAGGC